GAGUUUGAUCAUGGCUCAGAUUGAACGCUGGCGGCAGGCCUAACACAUGCAAGUCGAACGGUAACAGAAAGCAGCUUGCUGCUUUGCUGACGAGUGGCGGACGGGUGAGUAAUGUCUGGGAAACUGCCUGAUGGAGGGGGAUAACUACUGGAAACGGUAGCUAAUACCGCAUAACGUCGCAAGACCAAAGAGGGGGACCUUAGGGCCUCUUGCCAUCGGAUGUGCCCAGAUGGGAUUAGCUAGUAGGUGGGGUAACGGCUCACCUAGGCGACGAUCCCUAGCUGGUCUGAGGGGAUGACCAGCCACACUGGAACUGAGACACGGUCCAGACUCCUACGGGAGGCAGCAGUGGGGAAUAUUGCACAAUGGGCGCAAGCCUGAUGCAGCCAUGCCGCGUGUAUGAAGAAGGCCUUCGGGUUGUAAAGUACUUUCAGCGGGGAGGAAGGGAGUAAAGUUAAUACCUUUGCUCAUUGACGUUACCCGCAGAAGAAGCACCGGCUAACUCCGUGCCAGCAGCCGCGGUAAUACGGAGGGUGCAAGCGUUAAUCGGAAUUACUGGGCGUAAAGCGCACGCAGGCGGUUUGUUAAGUCAGAUGUGAAAUCCCCGGGCUCAACCUGGGAACUGCAUCUGAUACUGGCAAGCUUGAGUCUCGUAGAGGGGGGUAGAAUUCCAGGUGUAGCGGUGAAAUGCGUAGAGAUCUGGAGGAAUACCCGUUGGCGAAGGCGGCCCCCUGGACGAAGACUGACGCUCAGGUGCGAAAGCGUGGGGAGGAAACAGGAUUAGAUUCCCUG
rnacentral:rRNA from 1 species